rnacentral:tRNA from 1 species
GCCCUCGUCGUUCAACGGAUAGGACAUGAGCUUCCGGAGCUCAGGAUAGGGGUUCGAUUCCUCUCGAGGGCA